CGUCAUCCCACUUAGGGAGGCUAGGGUUACUAGGCAACGCCAGACGGUCUGGGGCUCCGUCCAAUCGAUGCCAAAGGGCAUGCGCAAAUUAGGUCUAGACCCAGCUUCCGAGCUAAAGCUCUAGGCUUCGUCCAUUUCGCUCGCGCCUCCGUUCCGAACAUGACGUCUUCUUUUGGUUUUCAAUUAUACCCUCUGUAAUGGCAUAACUAUUUAAUAAUACGUUCUCCAAAAAAUACCAUUUGAUUUAUUUGAUAUUGGUUUCUAAAGUCACACCAUGGCACAAUUUCCCGUCUUCAAGCUUCGUCUGUCCCUUUUUUAUGCUGUCUUUUUGAGCGAAAUGGAGUUCCUUCUUAAUUUGGGCCUUAUCAAAAUAUACCCUACUUAAGCUUUCUUUUGGAGGCCUGUACUAUCUCCAACUGCAGCACUUUUCUUCCAUUAUCCCGAAAGGAUCUUCUAUGCAACAUUAUUAGACUCCCUUUGCC